AGCCGAGAUAGCUCAGUCGGUAGAGCAGAGGACUGAAAAUCCUCGUGUCA
rnacentral:tRNA from 1 species